rnacentral:rRNA from 1 species
AUUGAACGCUGGCGGCAGGCUUAACACAUGCAAGUCGAGCGAGCGGCGGACGGGUGAGUAAUGUCUGGGAAACUGCCUGAUGGAGGGGGAUAACUACUGGAAACGGUAGACAAUACCGCAUACCUUCAGAUGUGCCCAGAUGGGCUUAGCUAGUAGGUGGGGUAAUGUCUCACCUAGGCGACGAUCCCUAGCUGGUCUGAGAGGAUGACCGGCCACACUGGAACGGGGACACGGUCCAGACUCCUACGGGAGGCAGCAGAGGGGAAUGUUGCACAAUGGGCGCAAGCCGGAUGCGGCCAGGCCGCGUGUGUAAGGAAGGCCUUCGGGUUGUAAGGCACUUUCAGCGAGGAGACGUUACUCGCAGAGGAAGCACCGGCUAACUCCGUGCCAGCAGCCGCGGUAAUAC